rnacentral:lncRNA from 1 species
UUCUUUAUUCUUUAUUCUUUAUUCUUUAUUCUUUAUUCUUUAUUCUUUAUUCUUUAUUCUUUGCUAAGGGCACUCGCACCUUAGGCGCAUUAUACACAUUUGCCAUUCUUUAUAACAUUAACAAACGUUUCUCAAUUGUCAUUCUUUCUCAAUUGUCAUUCUUUCACAGGGUUACCUUUACCCUAGCCAACUAUGCCACUCGACUCGGUCUUGAGUCAAUUCAUAAUGAAUACAAGAUCCACUUUCCAAUUCAUGAUUCCUUUUUGUUCUUUGUUCUUUAAUCUCACGGCUAACCCGGGGGUUUCGCCACAUUAACUUGCUUCACAUUAAGUCCAUCAUCGCAGGAACUCACCAGCUAGGACCGUCCUUACGGGUCUACUCCAACCCGGAUGCCAAACUCCGGAGCGCAUCGCCCGAGGGGGAGCGACCGCCCUCGAGCACGGAACUCAUAGCAAGUAUGAUCAUAUCCUUAACUCAAAGGAUUUGUAGUUGAAUCAUGGCUUUACACUAACUUUAGUGUUCUUUACAUCACAUUAGUUGCUAACUCUAGCAAUCAUUGUUCUUUACACCCCACUUGUCAAUUACUCUAGUAAUUGUCAUUCUUGAUACCACACUUGUUCUUUUGUUGCCACACACUAACUCUAGUGUGCUUCAUGUCACAUUGGUUGCUAACUCUAGCCAUUAUCAUUGUUCUUUACACUUUGCUUGUUCUUUAUGCCACAUUACUUUACAUCGCCUUUAGCCAUUAUCAUUAUUCUUUACAUCACAUUGCUUUGCCUUGUCUCAAGCCAUUAUCAUUAGGUUCUCACAUUACAUCUCAUGCAUACACAUAGAUUAUUUAGAUUCUUAAUCAUUCUAAUAAGCACGUGUACUCACAUCAUGCAACAUUACAUUAUUAUCAUCACAUUGUUUUACAUUAUCUUUAGCCAUUAUCAUUAUUCUUUACAUCACAUUUAUUCUUUGUUGUCCCACACUAACUCUAGUGUCCACUUUACCAUUUCGAAUGCCACUCGAUCUAUGUUCAACAUGCAUAUAUUUUGUCAUCCAUUGGUAGUCAUUACUUAGCAUUUUAUGCAUUCGUUAACAUUUACUACAUGCAUUCUCGGUUAGUACAAAUCUCAUACUUUCAUUUGACAUCUAUUUAGCAUUUCUAUAAUAUGCACAUGUAAAUUAACAUCAACUCAUGCAUUCAUUUGGCAUCUAUCUUUAUCAUGCAUUCUUAAAUAGCAUACUUUAUCAUGCAUUCUCAAAUAGCAUACUUUAUCAUGCAUCAAUAGUAAACAUACUACACUUUGGCAUGGAAAGCGACCUAAUCGCUUCGGUGAGCACAACCCACCUCAAAACGCUUUCCGAUUGCUUGUCGACACUUGCAAUCGGCCUCCCGCGGCACCCGUAACCCGGUUUGGCCCGAACUCUUGCGCGACCACCCGAACGGCCACCAAUUCGCGAUCCGUCUGUUCGGGAGUUUAUUCCCCGACACCACGAUGCUCCCGAUCCAUUCUCAUGAUUUUUGGAGGCUUAUCCCGCGUGCUGCGGCUAUCUGUACCAAAACAGAUUGUUUCGUCAAUAACUUUGCGUACACUCGUCGGAUUGUCGAACCGAGCGCACCAACGCGUUCGUUAUACCCCCAAUUAGGUUUAUAGAGGGUCAAUUGAGAUCAAACUCAACUAUUUACAAAAACCCUCUUUAGGAGCCCUAAUAUGCAACUAUUGCAAAAUCCACCAUUUCAUCUCAUGAAUCAAGCAUAAACCAUCUAUUUAGCAUGCUAGGAUUCCAUUAAAAUCAUCUUUAGAGUAUAAGAACUUAACCCUAAAGAUCUACCAUUAGAGAGCAUAAGGCUUACCUCUCUAAGCUUGCUCCCAUGGCUCAAGGAAGGAGAUGAAGAUGAAGCUCCAUCUUCUUGGCCUCUUCUCCUUCAUCUUCUUCUUUUUCUUCUCUUUCUUUCUCUUCUUCUCCUUCUUUUCUUUCUAGAGAGAGAGAGGGAGAGGUUUUGGUGUGGGAGAGUGAGAGAAAUGAGAGAAAGAGAGAAAGGGUCCUCUCUAUACACUCUCAUAAGUGCCAUUUUGCACUUAAGCCCCUCCACAAUGCUUCCCUCGCAACAGCCCAAACUGGGCAUUUUCGGGCUUCGGGGACCGGUCCUUGCGAUGAGAGACCGGUCCCUGAGAGACCGGUCCUUGGCUGAGAGACCGGUCCCCGAAGGUCCAGAAAUCAGCCUUCAAGGACUUAGCCAAAUUUUCCGCUUUUUCAUCGUUUUAGCUCCGUUUUCGCUCGUUUUUGCUCGUUUGACCUCCGAUUCAUUUCAAAUCGAACCGAGACUCUCCAAACAUGUUUUCGAACAUAUUUUCAUCAUCUUUUCACCCACGCUAAUGCCGGAUUUAACUCACGGUUCAACAUAGCCUUUCGGCUCCGUUUUCGCGCCCUAUGCGCACCGAAGCACCCGAAUGCUCCCGAACUUCGCCGGGACGAUUCCAAUGGCUUUCUAAGCUAACUUACAUCGUAACUUCGUGAAUUUAGAAGUUCGGUAUAUUACAUUCUCCACCCCUUAAAAGAAUUUCGUCCGCGAAAUUCAAACACAACUCGAUUCAGCUCCUCGAGCAAUUGAGGGCACCAAUACACUUUCCACUUCGGAAUGGCUUUACACUCCUUGGAACUAUCCAAAAGGACUACCACGGAGUUCAUGAUACUAAAUGCAUCCAAAUUUGCAAGGCGCAUCUCACAAAGUGCAUUAGGGUAUCCAUCACUCUUGGUGGCGGCGCAAGUCGAAACUCAACGACUCCACGCGCUCCAAUACCACUUGUCACUUGGCAUACAAGAACUCUUCUUCGCAUUUACUUUCCCCUCAGGGAAUACACUCCGAUUCUAUCUCCAACAUUGCUUAAAAGCAACAUCACUAGUGCAUCGCUUCACCGCGAGUGCUUUAAUUCCGCACCGAUCUUUAGCUCUAACAUGAGCCACCUCGGCACAUCCCAAAUCCAAUCCUCAAACUCCACGUGGCUUCUCACAAGUUCAAGGUCUCACCACGAGCACUUCAUCUUCUGAUACCAUAUGCCACGGCCAACGUCUUAUUACUUUCGCAAAGAGCUCACAUGAACACGUUAUUUGUGAACUCAAAUCAAACUCCCCGAUAAGGCUAUUCGCCAAAUCACUUUCCUCGACUUUCCACAGGUGGGCCAAAGGCCACCCAUACUACGUAGGCCUACAGCCUAAACCCGUCUCAAUACUCGACGUCCCUCGCUCGCAAGCGUAGACCCAAUCAUCGUUGGGGCGAAAUUCUCACUGGGAAAUUCGCACACACUCCAACCAGGAGCAACUAAAAUCCCAAACCGUUACAGAUUCCCGGGUUGGGUCACACUCGCACUCUCAGUAUACUAUCAAUCGCACUAUACGCUCUAUAGCACAAUACGUACCACUAUCAGCUCCUUUGCACCUAGUGCGAGCCACCAGCCCCACGAGUGAUCCGUGGCACGCUUCACACCUAGCAAUGCUCAGGUGCUACUGCCAACACACUCAUCCGGCUGAACUAAAUCCGCACUCCACGAGUAACUAUACUCGAGCGCUAUAUGCGCCUCUAUAGCAUUCCAACUAUGUCAAGCAUCAGGCAACUUUGCCUAUGCACACCGGCCACACGAGCACGACUCACCCACCUCAAUUCGAGAUACUACUAGGCCAACGCGCCCGUAUUUGGCAGCCAAUCGCUCUACCGGAGCAACAUCUAGAACACUCAAACCAUUCGAGUGUCCACAAGUGUCAUGACACAACUCUUGCAAUCAAUUACAUACAUUGCUCUGCAAGUUGGUUCGUCAUUUCCACCUCUACUACAAGUCUCAUCAUUAGACCAUCACUAGCAACUCGCUAGUACCAUCCAGUUCUCUACCUGCACCGGCAGGUGCAACGCUCUCACCACAUAAGCGUGCCCGGGUACUUACAUUUAUCCGCGCACUUGGAUCCUACUAUGCUACUACAUAAAUAGUAGUAAUUAAUUACAUGCUCAAUGCAUGCAAUGCACCAACUUUACAUUAUGCAGAAACACAUGACUGCAUUAAUGGCUCAUACCUGCCAUGACGUUGUCAGCAGCAGGUUCCAUAUCCCGGACAUAGUUCACGAUAGGGAGAAUUCCCGUUCGUACUCUCUAACUGAGCGGUCUCCUUGCCGCAGCUUCCUGAACUUGUCCUGAAGCUUUCUCUUUUCACUGUCGGGGGAAGUCAGUAGAAGAUACCAAUCCCCGAAACUCAUCCCAUGCCAUGGAGGAAUACUAGGUGAUCGGUUCCGCCGAAUGCCUUUCCACCACGCCUUAGCCGACUGUUUCAAACAAUACACGACUAGGGGUACCCUGUCCAGCUCCAAGGUAGACAGCUCCUCGAAAAGCGUUUCCACAGAGUCAAUCCACGUAUCCACAAUCCACGAAUCGACAUUCUCUCCAUCGAAGAUAGGUGGAUCAAACUUUAUGAAGGUCAUGAGGGCUGCCAAAGCCCGCUCUUUCUCAUUCUUUUCCUUUCCUUCCUCUCUCUUUCUUUGUCCUCUAGAGAGAGAAAGAGAAGUGAGAGAGUGUGAGGGUGAGGAUGAGAAAAUAUCUCAUUCACCCAUCAUACUCAGCCUAUUCAUUGCAAAAUUGCAACUAAGUCUCUCAACUUUUAUUUCACAACACUGCCCAAACUGGGCAGACUUCGGGCUCUGAGACCGGUCUCCCCGACCAUGGGACCGGUUCCUGAGAGCUCUCCCCGCGGCAGCAGAGCUCGUGCGCAAUGCAACCGCUCUCCCCUGGUGAGACCGGUCUCUCGGGGACCGGUCUGUCCCCUUGGGACCGGUUCCCGAGAGCUGCGUUUCCAAGACUUAGCCAAAUCUUCAGUUCCCAGACUCCACACGCGCUCGGGGACCGGUCUCCCCGACUUGGGACCGGUCCCUGAGAGCUGAAAACCUGCAGCUUUGCAGAUUUUCAAUUCCAACGCUCUCGAAGACCUCUCCGAGGCACUUUUACUCAUUUUGACGUCCUCGGCCUCUCCGAAGCACACCCAUUUCAUACUUUGGUCACUUUGACUAAAGUUCGAUAUUUCGACCACCGAGUUUCGAUAUAUUACAUCUACAAUUUUUUUUUUGGAGUCUCUUAAUUCCCUCCCCUUGGUGCAUAGCAGCCUCUUGCGGCCGCUGCACCACAUCAGCUUGUUGCCUCACCACACCCACAAGCGUGGCCAACUGUUCGCGAAGUUCCAAGUCUCCGCGCGCCUCGGAUUGCUCAGGGACAUCACUUGUCCCACCCCGCGUCGAUCUAAACGAAGAUCGCCUACGCGGUGCCAUCGUUACCUAGAACAUGACAACUCAACUAACUCUCAACCUUCUAGGUCGAGUAUGAAACAAUUGACACCAACUCAAAUCGGGCGAAAGUCAUACAAGGGCAUCUAUUCUCAUCACUCGGUUUCAUGUUGUACGCGUCCAACAUGAACACCCUCGGUUGAGAAUAGACAACACCUUGGAUCUACCUCUAAUCUCCUUUUUAGAGGUUUACAACACAACCCAAUCCCUUAACCUUUCGCCAAAAGUCAUAAGUCCUCGUCUCUCACGAGCCUUAAUCUCCUAUGGUUUACUAUCCUAGGGUCUCCUAGGUUCAUCUAAACCACUUUUCCAUUCUCUACUUUAUGCUCUGAUACCAUCUUAUCUGUCACGCCCCGAGCCCGCCUCUUUGGUCGGAUUCGGGCACGCCAACAGACCGCCGAACGGACAGGGUUUCCCCUACACGCGGACAGAGUCUCCCCUGUACGUUCAAGGCGUCGCAAUCAAUACAAUUACAAGAGGUUCCAAACAGGAACAAUUUUCAACAACGAUUGCAUAAGGAAGGUAUCAAACAACAUAACACAUCCUAUAUUAUUACAAUCAUUCAUCUCAUCAUUUUACAUCGCAUUUUUCAUUACAUUGAUUCUCAACUUCCAAAUAUACAAUCGAUUUCUUUUCUUUUCUUUUCUUAUACCCCUAAGGAGCCGACUCAGGGUACUGCUAUCUGGUCUCUGUGGUAGGGCGCUAACUACGGAGCUACGCCCUUUCCUCGCGCCGCCGCGCCGCUCGCGUGUGAACCUGUACCCCCAAAAACAACAACACGGAGGUGAGACUAUUGUCCAUAGUCGUCAGUGGGUACAGCCACCCAAGGGAAGAGCUCAACCCACCAGGUCCAAAGGAGGCACUGCAACAUGUUAGUCCAACAGAUAUAUACAUAUAACAUCAUGCAAUACAUGUUCAUGCCUCACAAAUAUGCAAAUUAUGCAACUCUUAGUCAUUCUUUACCAUUAGCCUUUCUUUAGAAUAUGCAAUUCUUUAUCAUUAGCCAUUCUUUAUUCUUUAUUCUUUGCUAAGGGCACUCGCACCUUAGGCCCAUUAUACACAUUUGCCAUUCUUUAUAACAUUAACAAACGUUUCUCAAUUGUCAUUCUUACUCAAUUGUCAUUCUUUCACAGGGUUACCUUUACCCUAGCCAGCUAUGCCACUCGACUCGGUCUUGAGUCAAUUCAUAAUGAAUACAAGAUCCACUUUCCAAUCCAUGAUUCCUUUUUGUUCUUUGUUCUUUAAUCUCACGGCUAACCCGGGGGUUUCGCCACAUUAACUUGCUUCACAUUAAGUCCAUCAUCGCAGGAACUCACCAGCUAGGACCGUCCUUCGGGUUUACUCCAACCCGUGAUGCAAAACUCCGGAGCGCAUCGCCCGAGGGGGAGCGACCGCCCUCGAGCACGGAACUCAUAGCAAGUAUGAUCAUAUCCUUAACUCAAAGGAUUUGUAGUUGAAUCAUGGCUUUACACUAACUUUAGUGUUCUUUACAUCACAUUAGUUGCUAACUCUAGCAAUCAUUGUUCUUUACACCCAACUUGUCAAUUACUCUAGUAAUUGUCAUUCUUGAUACCACACUUGUUCUUUUGUUGCCUCACACUAACUCUAGUGUGCUUCAUGUCACAUUGGUUGCUAACUCUAGCCAUUAUCAUCGUUCUUUACACUUUGCUUGUUCUUUAUGCCACAUUACUUUACAUCGCCUCAAGCCAUUAUCAUUAUUCUUUACAUCACAUUGCUUUGCCUUGUCUCAAGCCAUUAUCAUUAGGUUCUCACAUUACAUCUCCUGCAUACACAUAGAUUAUUUAGAUUCUUAAUCAUUCUAAUAAGCACGUGUACUCACAUCAUGCAACAUUACAUUAUUAUCAUCACAUUGUUUUACAUUAUCUUUAGCCAUUAUCAUUAUUCUUUACAUCACAUUUAUUCUUUGUUGUGCCACACUAACUCUAGUGUCCACUUUACCAUUUCGAAUGCCACUCGAUCUAUGUUCAACAUGCAUAUAUUUUGUCAUCCAUUGGUAGUCAUUACUUAGCAUUUUAUGUAUUCGUUAACAUUUACUACAUGCAUUCUCGGUUAGUACAAAUCUCAUACUUUCAUUUGACAUCUAUUUAGCAUUUCUAUAAUAUGCACAUGUAAAUUAACAUCAACUCAUGCAUUCAUUUGGCAUCUAUCUUUAUCAUGCAUUCUUAAAUAGCAUACUUUAUCAUGCAUUCUCAAAUAGCAUAUUUUAUCAUGCAUCAAUAGUAAACAUACUACACUUUGGCAUGGAAAGCGACCUAAUCGCUUCGGUGAGCACAACCCACCUCAAAACGCUUUCUGAUUGCUUGUCGACACUUGCAAUCGGCCUCCCGCGGCACUCGUAGCCCGGUUUGGCCCGAACUCUUGCGCGACCACCCGAACGACCACCAAUUCGCGAUCCGUCUAUUCGGGAGUUUAUUCCCCGACACCACGAUGCUCCCGAUCCAUUCUCAUGAUUUUUGGAGGCUUAUCCCGCGUGCUGCGGCUAUCUGUACCAAAACAGAUUGUUUCGUCAAUAACUUCGCGUACACUCGUCGGAUUGUCGAACCGAGCGCACCAACGCGUUCGUUUGGUCCCCAAUUAGGUUUAUAGAGGGUCAAUUGAGAUCAAACCCAACUAUUUACAAAAACCCUCUUUAGGAGCCCUAAUAUGCAACUAUUGCAAAAUCCACCAUUUCAUCUCAUGAAUCAAGCAUAAACCAUCUAUUUAGCAUGCUAGGAUUCCAUUAAAAUCAUCUUUAGAGUAUAAGAACUUAACCCUAAAGAUCUACCAUUAGAGAGCAUAAGGCUUAC